AGUGGCGGACGGGUGAGUAACGCGUGAGAAUCUGCCUUGGGGUCGGGGACAACCACUGGAAACGGUGGCUAAUACCGGAUAAGCCGAUUGGUGAAAGAUUUAUUGCCCGAAGAGGAGCUCGCGUCUGAUUAGCUAGUUGGUGAGGUAAGAGCUCACCAAGGCAGCGAUCAGUAGCUGGUCUGAGAGGACGAUCAGCCACACUGGGACUGAGACACGGCCCAGACUCCUACGGGAGGCAGCAGUGGGGAAUUUUCCGCAAUGGGCGAAAGCCUGACGGAGCAAGACCGCGUGAGGGAGGAAGGCUCUUGGGUUGUAAACCUCUUUUCUCAGGGAAGAAGCUCUGACGGUACCUGAGGAAUCAGCCUCGGCUAACUCCGUGCCAGCAGCCGCGGUAAUACGGAGGAGGCAAGCGUUAUCCGGAAUUAUUGGGCGUAAAGCGUCCGCAGGUGGCGAUUCAAGUCUGCUGUCAAAGCACGGGGCUUAACUCCGUAAAGGCAGUGGAAACUGAAUAGCUAGAGUGCCGUAUGGGUAGAGGGAAUUCCCGGUGUAGCGGUGAAAUGCGUAGAGAUCGGGAAGAACAUCGGUGGCGAAAGCGCUCUACUGGACGGCAACUGACACUCAGGGACGAAAGCUAGGGGAGCGAAUGGGAUUAGAUACCCC
rnacentral:rRNA from 1 species